rnacentral:rRNA from 1 species
AUUGAACGCUGGCGGCAUGCCUAAUACAUGCAAGUCGAACGAGGGGCGGACGGGAGAGUAAUGUCUGGGACACUGCCCGAUGGAGGGGGAUAACUACUGGAAACGGUAGCUAAUACGGCAUACCAUCCGCUGUGCCCAGAUGGGAUUAGCUAGUAGGUGGGGUAACGGCUCACCUCGGCGACGAUCCCUAGCUGGUCUGAGAGGAUGACCAGCCACACUGGAACUGAGACACGGUCCAGACUCCUACGGGAGGCAGCAGUGGGGAAUAUUGCACAAUGGGCGCAAGCCUGAUGCAGCCAUGCCGCGUGUAUGAAGAAGGCCUUCGGGUUGUAAAGUACUUUCAGCGGGGAGGCGUUACUCGCAGAAGAAGCACCGGCUAACUCCGUGCCAGCAGCCGCGGUAAUUC